rnacentral:tRNA from 1 species
GCCUUUGUGGUGUAGUGGUCAGCACACUCGAUGCGUAAACGAGAGGUCCGUGGUUUGAUUCCUGGCGAAUGCU